rnacentral:rRNA from 1 species
AAACCUGGAUUAGAUACCCUGUUAUUAUAAAUGUAAAUUAAUAAGUUAAUUAGUAAUUGUUAUGUUCAUGAAAAUUAAAGGAUUUGGCGGUAUUUUAGUCUAUUCAGAGGAACUUGUCUUGUAAUUGAUAUUCCACGAUUUAUAUUACUUAUUUUAUUAAUUUGUAUAUCGCUGUAGUUGAAUAUUUUUAAAGAAUAGAAAUGUUCAUGAUUUUUUUUAAAAAUGAAAUCAAGUCAAGGUGUAGUUUAUAGAUAAGAAUAGAUGAGUUACAAUAAAUAUAUUUAUGGAUUAUUUAAUUAAAGUUAUUUAUGAAAAUGGAUUUGACAGUAAUAUAGUAUAAAUAUGCUUUAUGAUUGUAGCUCUAAAAUAUGUACAUAUCGCCCGUCACUCUU